rnacentral:lncRNA from 12 species
CCCCCGCCACCCGGCCCCCCCGCCGCCCCGCGACCCCGACCCGGGCGAGGCCGAGCUCCCGCCGCCCGGGCACCGAGGGCAGGGGCGGGGCGGGCGGGCGGGGCUCCAGGGACACACUGACGUCGCAGCCCCAGACUUGCGUCAGCGCCACCGGAGCCUCCCACUGGACCCCUCGCCGCCGGUGACGCUCCUACCUGCCACCCUGGGGCCGCCCUGGGCGCCGGGAGUCCGGCCUCUGGGUCCCCGUGGCGAGUCCCCACGGCCCAAGACCCCAGCACGGCGAGCACCCGACGGAGCCGGCCGCGGUGGCUUCUCAGCAGCCCAGGAGGGGUGAGCGGGGCCGCCUGGUCCAGCCCGGCCCUCAGGUGUCCCCGGGGCUCGCUCAACAAAGCCUGUGUGUGCUCGAGCCCCUCCCUCCCCACGCCUGCCCUGCAGCCCCUGCUCUGCCGCCCCUGCAGGUGUCCAGGGACAGCUCCCUGCAGCACCUCCCCAUGCCCCUGCCCUGCAUCCCCUGCGGGUGCCCACGGACAGCUCCCUGUGGCCCCUCCCCACGCCCCUGCCCUGCAUCCCCUGCAGGUGCCCACAGAAGGCUCCCUGCAGCUGCCCUGCAGCCCGGUGGCCCAGAGAAGCCGGAGAACAGUUCCGGUGGCUGACAGGGCGCAGACCCUCGGUGCAGGCAGCAGUCGCCAGCCUCCUUGGCCCCCAGGCCCUCAGGGCAGCGUGGGCUCUGUUAGACUGGGUGCCCACCACCACCCAGCCCCUUCCUCCCGAGCCCCAGCCGCCCACGCUGAGGCCCUUCAGGAUGCGCCCACCGGCCAGGGCCCAGGUUGCUGCUAGGACAGCAGUGCUUGCUCACGGCCCCACAGCGUCGUGCUCUGCACCAGACUCCGGCCUGUGGCCCGCUGACCCGUCCCAUUGCUCGGCCCAAAGCCCGACAGCUUCCUGUGUGCCACCGAAGCUGCUGUGUGCCCCCCACUCCGCGCUCACAGAGCCCCAGCAGAUGGCAGGGACCGGCCUUGCUUUUACGUGCGUGUGGACAUCCUCCCGAGAUAACCGGCGGGUGGCCUGUGGUCGGAUAGCCACAGAAGGAUGGGUCACUUCCCUCCUCUCCUGGAGCAAGGAACCCCUGGCCAGACCUCAGGCCUCCUGAGGGGCCCACCCCAAACACCGAGGUGCUCCCCCCUUCGCCGUAGCGAUCUGGCAAGAGGUGGGGGGCUCAGAUCUGUGGAGCCCACUUGUUUGUCCUUUAUCUUCUCUGGGAGUUCCUAAAAGCUGAGACGACACAAAAACACCCAGCAGGGUCAGCCAGGGACCCUCACCUCGGGGCGGGGGAUGGGCUCUCCACCAGCUGCUCCACCCCGACUCCCAGACUGCGUGUGCAGGCCCCACCAGGGCAGCGUGUGGGCUGCGGGCUCGGGUCCCACAGCGCCCUCCACCCUGCUGCUCCCCCGGCCUCCAUGGGGCCCAGCACUAGGCUGGGGGAGGCCUCAGGGGCUCCCUGCGCAGGAACAGGCCAGAAACCCCUCCAGGCCCCAGAACACGCCGCUGGCUUUGGGGCCCAGCUUUGCCCCCAGUCCUGACCCCGCAAAGACCAUGGGGAGCACAAAUAGACCCUUUCCUUCCUUUUCCAACUUGUUAGGAACAGCGGCUUUAGCGACGUGGCAGGAAGCUCGGGGCUCAAGUUUCGGGACCCCAGAAAUCUGCUAAUCAGCCUGAGCGCGGAGGAGUGGGAAGGGCCGUCCAGGAGGGCUUCCCGCAGGAGGAACCCCGCCGAGGUGGAGCGGGAGCGAACGCUCAGGGCCGGGGUAGGUGCCUGGACCACGCGGUUCUGGGGCUUCCUGGGCUCCAGAACGACCCUGAGCCCACACCGGCCAGCAGACCCGGGCGGCCUCCGCAGGCCCCGAGGA